AUUGUGGAGCAAUAUGCGGCCUGUGA
rnacentral:piRNA from 1 species